rnacentral:rRNA from 1 species
GACGGAGGAUGCAAGCGUUAUCCGGAAUGAUUGGGCGUAAAGCGUCCGCAGGUGGCUGUGUAAGUCUGCUGUUAAAGAGUGAGGCUCAACCUCAUAAAGGCAGUGGAAACUACAUGGCUAGAGUGCGUUCGGGGCAGAGGGAAUUCCUGGUGUAGCGGUGAAAUGCGUAGAGAUCAGGAAGAACACCGGUGGCGAAAGCGCUCUGCUAGGCCGCAACUGACACUGAGGGACGAAAGCUAGGGGAGCGAAUGGG